AAUGCUUCUGGAACAUGGCCAUACAGCCCGGAAAACUCACAACAUACUAGUGAUUACGACCAUGAAAGCCUUCAACAACAGUCUGAAGCGAGUUUCAAACUGAAUUAAAUGGGCAGUGUAGAUGGGCCUCCAGCAAAGGAAGCCACAGCUCCCUGGCUUCUGCAAGGAGUGAGCAGCUGUGUGGAAAAGGUGGGCCACUUUUGUUUCCCUGCUCUCAUUGAUGGACUCCAUUGAUGCAUUCAGGUGUACCAGAAGUGACGUUGCAGCACUCCCAGGCAGCAUUUCAGCCCAUUCUCAUUGUUUUUCAGUGUGUGGCUGAUUCUGAGGAAACUAAAGUAAACUUAUGUACUUGUGGGAAUAUGGAUGUGCAUUUGGGGGCAGAAAACUAGUUGAAAGUUAGCCCAAAAUAGGCACAGGGGCAAUAGGAAGUCUUCAUAGGGAAUUUGUGAUGACACAAAAGUAUGGCUUGGGGCUGCCACAUUUUCUUCACUAUUCCCUUAUCUCUAAUCUACCGUUUCACUUUUUAAAAUACAUAUAUUCUGUCAAAAUUAAAUACCAAAUCACCAGUUACAUGUCAAAGUAGCAACAUUUCUAUUCUGUUAUAAAUAUAACACAAAACAAAUUGGCCCCUUUGCUCAGAUAAAUGUGUUGACCUCUGAGCUCUGAAGAAACAUUACUCUGUGGGAGAAAUCUGGGAAAAGUACUUUGGGUUAUAAUGGAAAUAAGUCAAGUAUGUGAGCAAUAUUGACCACCAAAUCUUAUAUUUGACACCUCUAACCUUAACUAUGAUAAUCAUACAUCCCUCAGUAAAUUCUCUGAAUAACUGUCAUGUCAGGAAAAAAUAUGUCUUUCCUUCUCUCUUAUUAAGAAGAGACUUCAAGUUAUCACACAACUGUCAUAAUGUCACUAGAAGCUGCUCAGUGUCACCUUUGUCAUUGAUUAGGCAGAGAGAGACGACUGUGCUAAGGAGCAGAUUUUGGGUGCCACAUAAGAGAAGCAACUUGUUACUUCUUUAAAAUUAUAUCUGUAUCACCACAAAGGGGAAAAGACGCCUGUGACAUUUCCUGCUUCAAGGCUAACACAAUUUAACUGGCCUGGUAGCCCCUGCACUGUGUCUAUGGCCAAGGCACUUGCUGCUCUCCUUCAGGCAGAAAUAGGAAUUGUGCCAGACACAUGAGCAAGAGAGGAAGAGGAAGCCAGUCAUAAAGCAAUAGCCUUGGGAUAGGAAAUUUAAAAAACAGCAGCUGUUACUAUUGCCCUCUCUUAAUCUUUUUUCAGAUUUAAUAACAUAUUAUUGUUCUUUUAAGUCUUAUAUAAGCCAUUCUUGGUGAGCCUGUCGGCACAGAGAAUAAGACAGUGACACUUACAAAAGCGAAACCGGUGGUCCUUAAAGUGACCUCAGCUGCUUCUUGCCCUCAGGCUCCAAGGUUAUACUCACUUACUAAGGAAUAAAUCUCAUUGAAAUCAAUAGGGCUUACUUCUGAUUGCACCAUGACUCUUGUAGGAACUACAUGCCAAAGCGGAUAUUAAUAACUCAUGACAACACUUCGUCUCGGGUGGGUUAUUACAGUCUGCCAACCUUUGACUUCUUCCACGGAUGCCUUUGGAAAUGCUUUCCAUAUUCUUGGGAUUCUGUGAUAACACAUAUAUAUCCAAGGGGCUGAUAAGUUUUUUUUCCUUUCCCAUUUCCUCCCUUCCUUCUGGUCCAUUUGGUUCCCCACUUUUGUCACUGCAAUUCUUUGUUUGCACCCUUAUUUAUUUAUUUUAUUACAACAUUUAUAUCCCGCCCUUCUCACCCAACAGGGGACUCAGGGCGGCUUACAAUAAAACACACAUAUAAAACCUGUACAAUACACUAUAAAUCAGUUAAAAAAUUAACUUACAUAAAACAUUCAUAAAACGCAUUAUAAAAUACAGAUAGGCAUGUUCAAGUUUAAAAGACUGGGUCUGUCAAUUGAGUUCCAGCGUACAUAAUAGUAAUUAGUGCUGCUGAUUCUUAUUCGAAGGCCUGGCCACACAACCAAGUUUUAACCUUCCUACGGAAGGAUAGGACGGAGGGAGCCUGCCUGAUUUCAAUGGGGAGGGCGUUCCAUAGGCGUCCCUUAUGCCAUUAUCUUCUCUCUCAAGAUAGCAUGGUAAAACAGCCCCCUUUAGAUUAUAAUCCUAACUUUUAAAAUGCUGUUUUCUAGUACCUAAUGGCAUAUAAUGUAUUAACCUGUAAAACAAGAGUACAGUAAUUUUGUUCUUAAACAUCAUUGUCACAGGAUUUAAUACAUGUUUAAAAUAUAUACUUCAGUUUAGUUGCCUUAAAUUCAAUUCUAAAAGCAACUGUGAUGAUCCAGAUCUUCCAGUCGCUUCUCCCUUUUAAAUGCACACUUCUGCAUAAUCACUCGGUCCAUUUUAUAAUAUCUACAAUCACUAAAUGAGAAACAAGAUAUUAAAAUGAAAACUCUCAUCUGAUUCCACACCUAAAGUAUUAUUACUACUAUGUUUAUUUAUACUCUGCUUUUUCUCUCCACAGAGAAGAUUUAAAGUGUCUUACAUUAAAAACAUUUCAAUAUAAUUUAAAAUACACAAAUAUACUGUCAAGGACAGAACGCCACAAGAUCAAAGAUAACAGAGUUUAUUGGAUUUACAGAACUCAAAAUGCCCGUAAAAGACAAGGGCCAGGCAACAUUAGCCUCAAAAAGCAAAAAAGGGGCAAGAAAAACGUUCAAAAGAUAAACCGGAUUAAACCGGAGUUUAAUCCGGGUAAAAUCAAAACAGCUUGCUUCAGCUUGGGAACAAACAAAACAGAAGCUGGGAAACAAAGAGUUCAAAAGAAUGUAACUAAUUGGCAGCAGAUGCCUCUCUGCUGCCAGUACUAUGUUUUGAGUAACUUAGAAGUCACUCCUACACACAGCAGGCAAACUUCCAAUACAAACACAACAGCCGAGGAUUGAAGCAGUAGAGUAGUCCCAGUUCUUUCCGAAGGUCGAUAGGCAGAAGCAGACGUUUGCAGUUUUCCAAGUCCAGAAGGAGAAUCCAAGCCCGUAGUCAGUUCAGUCCGUAAAUCCAGAGUAGCAGAUGGCGUCCGUCAAGAAGACGACGGAAGGUCAAAGCUAUUGAGAUUAAGCAGAGGUUUGCACAAACAAAAGCCCACACAAUUCCUCCCGCCGUCUGAACCCAAAUUCCAAAACAACUUACGUAAUCAGCACACGAAACACACCCGUCUUCAGGAAAACGUCCCACACAGAUCCCAAGCGUUUGUCCAGAUUACCUUGCCCAACGCAAUUUGCUAUUGCUCCCAAGCCCCAUUUUAUGCCAGUUACAAGUCCUCAUCACUAUCAGCUGUUCUCCUUAACCCGGGCGUUUCCUCAUCACUUUCCUCAUCAGAACUGGAACACCUCUGACUACGCCCCACAGCAUCCCCAGCUGUGGAUCCCGUCCCAUCCCUCCAGCUUGUCCAUGGGUCUAGUCCUGAAGGUCCCCAAUCAUCUUCCAUCCCAUCAUUGCCAGUGGCACCCAAUUCCUCCCUUACCCGAGUCCAAUCCAUCUCAUCCUCUUCUGAGCUAACCAGCUCUUCCUCCAUUCUCUCCGUAAACCCCUCAAAAGACUCUUCGUCAGAUGGUUCUGCAAAGAUAUCUCGCAGCCUCUUUCUUUCUCGCUCCUCGAGAGUAUCUGACUCUCGAGGAGUCUUACGUCCACGUCUGCCAGUAGCAGAGCCAUGAGGCUCAAUCAUAACAUAUACAAACAUUAAAACAGAAUUAAAUAUCAAUGUUAUUAAAACAUAGUUAAAAUCCAUAAAAGCUUAUUAAAGAUAUAUUCAAAGAUGCUUGCUAUCAUUGAAAUGUCUGCUUUUAGUAAAGGAGGAAUAUAUCCACCCCUUUUGCUUAAUUCUUCCACUUCUACUCCCAAUCAAAAGCCUGAAAGGAAGCUGACUCAGCAAUGUGUAACAGGUAAGCAUUACUAUUCAACAUUAUUUAUUUAUUGCAUUUAUAUCCUGUCCUUCUCACCUCGAAGGGGACUCAGGGUGGCUCACAAGAAAGGCACUAUUCGAUGCCACAUAUACAUACAAAGGGUAAAAACAACACAUAUACAUUAAUAUCCAUAAUUAAAACAUCAUAAUCUUAAAAACAGUUACUUAAAAUCCAUGCAAUCCAAAGGCAUAUUCUAGGAGCCAUUCAAUCAUGAAUUGCACUGUCCCAUAGUAACUUAUUGCAUUGCAGAUUAUUGUUCAAAGGCAUGGCCCCACACCCAUGUCUUCACUUUCUUUCUGAAGGACAGGAAGGAGGGAGCUGAUCUAAUUUCACUGGGGAGAGAGUUCCACAGCCAAGGGGCCACCACUGAGAAGGCCCUGUCUCUCAUCCGCACCAGUUGCGCCUGCGAAGGAGAUGGGACUAAGAGCAGGGCAUCCCCAGAUGAUUUUAACCUCUUGGAUGGUUCAUAGAGGAAGAUACAUUUGGACAGAAUCAGAAUACUUCAAGAGAACUGUGAUGACUCAUGGGCCUUGUAGUCCUGUUCCUAGUACUAUUGUGGCAGACGAAGAGGAAAACAUGGGGUUUUCGCCGGUUCAGCAAGAGCCGGAGUCUCUUCACCUGCAGGAUGUUGAUGUUUGCCCUCAAGAAUUCAGCCAAACAGGCCUUGGGCAGAACUCCCCUCCGUUUCCCAGGAGGGAAAUUUAUUCUAAAGACAGGGGAGUCAGGGAGGCUAAUCGGAGAAGCCUGAGAAUCGCUGCCAAACAAAUGGCUGAUUAGGUCUGCUUCCCUUGGGAAAUUCUAAGGAGUCAUGCAUCUGGACAGAGUUGGGUUUCGCUUCUCGUUCUCUAGGGAAAGAGUUCUGUUGGCGGGAAAACGAGACCCAAUAUAGGUGUUUGGCGCGAGGGAUUCUUUGCGGAGUCAAUUGAUCAGCUUGAGGAGAGAGAUCGUGUGUGGACUUCGUAAUCCCAGUUCCUUGCUUCCCGGAUCAAGCUUCAAGCCUUGCCCUGUCUCACGGUUUUACCACGGACUCUGUUUCAUGCUUCAUGUUUGCCUUGUCUCCAGUCACGGAUCUAGCCAAGAAUCAAGUUUAUUUCCAGCCUUGUUGUCAAGCUUCAUUGGACUCUAAGACUCUGUUAUUUCCCCACACUAUUGCUUGGCAAAGUGUGUGUUUCGGUCAAGUGGAUUAAAACUUUGAACUCUAAUAUCUUAUAUUGGACAAUACAUUUCUGGACUAUAUUUGACCUCAUCUGAAAGGUCUGCUUCUGAACAAUAUUCUUCACUUGUUUUUAUUGAUUUUAUAUAUUUCUUUAAUAAAGAUAUUAGAUAGAGA